CAGCACCUCAAGUGGUCAGGAUGAUUAUUGGGCCUAAAGCAUCCGUAGCCUGCUUUGUUAGUUUUCGGUUAAAUCCAUACGCUCAACGUAUGGGCUGCCGGGAAUACUGCAAAGCUAGGGAGUGGGAGAGGUAGACGGUACUCGGUAGGAAGGGGUAAAAUCCUUUGAUCUAUUGAUGACCACCUGUGGCGAAGGCGGUCUACCAGAACACGUCCGACGGUGAGGGAUGAAAGCUGGGGGAGCAAAACGGAUUAGAUACCCGAGUAGUCC
rnacentral:rRNA from 1 species